CCGGAAAAUUUUGUUGAAUUGGAAGCGAGAGAGCGACGAGCCGUCCGCAUGCACCAAGAGCGACCCGUCAACCGCCAGCCUCUGCUCCAAGUAUUGCGUUACCGCAGCCACUGGACACAAAGUGGAACCCGGUAGGCCCGUCCCGACCUGUCCCAUGGACGUCCGUCUUGGACCUGGCCAAGUGCACCACCAACUUCCCCCCGAGUGUGCGAACCCCCGAUGCCUGUAUGCCCCCCGAUGACAACCGCGUGGCGCUUACCAAUUCCCCAAUCCUAAAGGCCCUGAAAAAGGCCAGAAGGAAUGCCGCCCUGAACAGAGACACCUCAAACCCAUUGAAGCAGAUUUCUGGUAAGGUUUGGACUAGGCCCCCCAGCACCCGUACCGACACUGGGCGUCUAGCAUCCGGAACCCUUCGGCCCCUCCGAUAGCCCUUUAGAGCCUGCCUGAUAACAAAAGCCUCGGUAAGGUCUUCCCCCCCCGUGGAGCUUGAACCAAAAGGCCAUUGCUGCCAUGGUCCUGCCCACCACUGCUGGAGACGCGCCGCCCGCCAGCAAGUGGAAGGUGAACCACAGGAAGGCAUCCAGCGGCGGCUCCCCCGUUGCUCGCCUACCCAGCCCUUCCCAGGAACGCUCCCAUGCACCCCAGACCUUAUUGUAGGCGGCCCAGGUGGCCGGCGAGAGCGAAGCCUUCACGAGUCCUCCAAGCAGGACGCUCCUAACUGCCACAUCUCGUUCGGGCACGCCUGGCCCACGUCCUGCGCCUCCGGGGCCACCGUCCGAAAUCUGGACCACUGAAAAUGAGACAGAGCAUCAGCCACCUCGUUCAAGUACCCCGGCACAUGGCGCGUGCGAAAGACC